rnacentral:rRNA from 1 species
GACGAACGCUGGCGGCGUGCCUAAUACAUGCCAGUCGAGCGAAGUUUUUCUGGUGCUUGCACUAGAAAAACUUAGCGGCGAACGGGUGAGUAACACGUAAAGAACCUGCCUCAUAGACUGGGACAACUAUUGGAAACGAUAGCUAAUACCGGAUAACAGCAUUAACUGCAUGGUUGAUGUUUAAAAGUUGGUUUUGCUAACACUAUGAGAUGGCUUUGCGGUGCAUUAGCUAGUUGGUGGGGUAAAGGCCUACCAAGGCGACGAUGCAUAGCCGACCUGAGAGGGUGAUCGGCCACACUGGGACUGAGACACGGCCCAGACUCCUACGGGAGGCAGCAGUAGGGAAUCUUCCGCAAUGGGCGAAAGCCUGACGGAGCAACGCCGCGUGAGUGAAGAAGGAUUUCGGUUCGUAAAGCUCUGUUGUUAGGGAAGAAUGAUUGUGUAGUAACGAUACACAGUAGAGACGGUACCUAACCAGAAAGCCACGGCUAACUACGUG